rfam:TPA: Bos taurus chromosome 9, whole genome shotgun sequence.
UCCCUGAUGGCCCAGCGGGUAAGACUCUGUGCUCCCAAUGCAGGGGUCCUGGGUUUGAUUCCUGGUGAGGGAA